rnacentral:rRNA from 1 species
UGGGGAAUUUUGGACAAUGGGGGAAACCCUGAUCCAGCCAUCCCGCGUGUGCGAUGAAGGCCUUCGGGUUGUAAAGCACUUUUGGCAGGAAAGAAACGUCGCGGGUUAAUACCCCGCGAAACUGACGGUACCUGCAGAAUAAGCACCGGCUAACUACGUGCCAGCAGCCGCGGUAAUACGUAGGGUGCAAGCGUUAAUCAGAAUUACUGGGCGUAAAGCGUGCGCAGGCGGUUCGGAAAGAAAGAUGUGAAAUCCCAGAGCUUAACUUUGGAACUGCAUUUUUAACUACCGGGCUAGAGUGUGUCAGAGGGAGGUGGAAUUCCGCGUGUAGCAGUGAAAUGCGUAGAUAUGCGGAGGAACACCGAUGGCGAAGGCAGCCUCCUGGGAUAACACUGACGCUCAUGCACGAAAGCGUGGGGAGCAAACAGGAUUAGAUACCCUGGUAGUCCACGCCCUAAACGAUGUCAACUAGCUGUUGGGGCCUUCGGGCCUUGGUAGCGCAGCUAACGCGUGAAGUUGGACCGCCUGGGGAGUACGGUCGCAAGAUUAAAACUCAAAUGAAUUGACGGGG